rnacentral:miRNA from 1 species
UCGGCCGACUCGAUCGUCGCAUCCAUCCGCUCCAUCGUCAGGAAGGCGGCCAGAUUGGCCGUGUACGAGGACAGCAUGAUGAG